UGCUGGCGGCAGGGACCCUGACAAGGUCUGGAGCCUCAGAGCGCACCUGCCCCCACUUACAAGCCCCGGCCUCGGGGAUUGGGUGGAGUGUCCCCUGCCUCCAACGGCUCCCAGAUGAGUCAAAAGGGGGCACAGUGGCAGCAGAAAUCUUGUCACAUGGCUGUCAUCUGUAACGGCAGCGUUCUAUGUGGAGUGCGUCACGGCCAUCAGUGAUCUUCUGGGGGACUGCCUUCACCUGCUGCUUCCUGUACCCACUGUCCUGAUUUCCAUCACCAUAGAUGAGUUUGGCCUGUUUUUGAAUUUUGUAUGAGAGAAACAUACAGCAUGUUCCUCUUUUCAUGUCUGGCUUUGUCUCUUAGCAUGGCGCCCAUCAGGUCCAUCCAUGGCUGUGUAUAUCCACGUCCAUUCCUUUUCAUGGUGAAUGGGCUUCCACUGGGUGGACAUGCAAGGUCUACUGUGGACAGACAUCUUGGUUGUUUUUGGGUUUUGAUGAUUUUGA
rnacentral:lncRNA from 1 species